rnacentral:lncRNA from 1 species
GAAGCUGCGAAGAUGGCGGAGUAAGGCGUGCCGCUGCAAACUGGCCUCUGGGCCGGGGGCGAGCAGCCCCCGGGAGGCCGAGUGCAUCUGUUGGACCGUGCGAGGAGAAGAAAAAAAAUAUCGGCCAGAGGAGAGGAACUAACCGAACAUUCUUCCUCCCUACCUUAUAGAGGGGAGUGGUCAUCUACACUAAAGCAAAGUGUUAGGCGCGUCCGUGCGAAGAGACCACCAAACAGGCUUUGUGUUCCUUAUCACAGGAAGAAAAUUUUCCUUGACCUUUAGGUGCUUUUAUAUUCAUCUCAAAAACAAAAUUCUGAACUCAGGACUUGGCAAGUGUCUCUAUGUUGUCUCCUAGAGUGGGUAGUCCUGCUUCUUUUACCCAGUUACUUUCCCGUUUUUGAAAUGUGGCUAUCACUUCUCUACACAUUACCUCCAUGAUUUGGAAUGGAAAAGGCCACUUUUCUUUUUGUUCUGCCUCUCAAAUUCAACACAGAGGAGCUCCUAGGAUUCCAGUUAUCCUGCUAACAUCUCCAGGAAGAAAGAAGCAACUCACAUGGGUCUUUUGCUGUUUGCUUAAUUAUAAAGACAUCAUUUUGCAAGCAGAAGGCUGAGUUUCAUUUGAAACAGACCACCGCUGAAACUUCACUUCUACACAGAGGCUUUCUUUCCCAGAAACCCAGACCAGAUGGAGUUUCACUCUGUCGCCCAGGCUGGAGUGCAGUGGCACGAUCUCGGCUGACUGCAGCCUCUACCUGCUGGGUUCAAGCAAUUCUUCUGCCUCAGGUUCCUGAGUAGCUGGGAUUACAGGUGCGCACCACCAUGCCUGGCUAAUUUUUGUAUUUUUAGUAGAGACGAGGUUUCACCACGUUGGCGAGGCUGGUCUUGAACUCCUGACCUCAAGUGAUCCACUGCCUCGGCCUCCGAAAAUCUGGAAUUAUAGAUGUGAGCCACUGCGCCAGGCCUGUAAUUUUAUGUAUCUUUAUGUGAUUAUUUGAAUGUCCCUCUCUGACUAGAUUAUAAAUUCUAAGGAUAGUGUGUCUAUUUUUGCUUACCUUUUAUCCCCAGCACCUAGUCUAACACUUUACAAAUAUAUAUUAAAUUAAUAUUUUGAUAAGUUACUCAAAGUGCUACAUAAAACAAAAUUAUAGAAAAUAGUACUUUGGUAACUGUUUCGUUUUAUCAUUGCUUUCAUUAUUUCUCUGUUAACCUCAGUUUACAACUGAAAAAGACAAAUUGUAUAUUAUUCAGGCAAUUUAUUAAACAUUACCUAUAGAAUAUUAUGAUCUGUAUUUUACAGAAGUUAAAAAGUGAUGUAUUAGUAUUCAUAACAACUGCUCCAUGCAGGAGUAAUAGAAGUCAACAUUAAGCCCAACUCUAUUUUCAGACCAACCAUGCAACUUUAGAUCAGAGGACACAUGGGACUCUGCAUCUUAAUUCCUAAAUUUACAGUCAAAGACAUUUUCAGAGAUAAGUAUUAUGAAUUCAAUAAGAAUCUAAAGUAAGUUCUUAAGGCAAAUAGCUAUAAAAGAGAAGAAUCCUUAGUCUCUCAUCUUCUAAAAACAGCUUCACAAAUAAUUUGGAAAAUCAGCCUAAAGGUAAAUAGAAACUGCAUUUCCCCUCCAUUCUUGAAGCCAAUCUUUUUCAAGAAAUGACUAAGCAGCACCUGUUGUUGAAGACAGCAAUAAAGCCUGAACCUGACACUCAA